UAUACACCUUUAUAUAUGAUGCAUCCAUUGAGACAAUCGACGCAAAAGAAGGCAAAAAGGCAAAAAAUUAUAUUAUUGAUAUUAUAGUAUGUUCUAAUAAUAAUUGAAGAGUGGCAGUUUUUUAUUUGGCUAUGACUACAGCUUACUCGCUUCACUUAUAUUCAAAUGAAACAUUUGUGGAAUCCUGCUAUGGUAUUUAAUCGAUACAUAACGGAGAUCACUUUGGUCACGUUAAACCAAAAAAUACAGUUAUGUGAGUGAUACUGCUAAAGUAAGAGUGCCUUUGGGUUAUAAAUGGAAGUCGUUUUCCUUUUAAAGACCCGGCUUUCUUGAAACAAACUUGAAAUAAAGGCAAGGCCUUCUUGCCUUCCCGUAAACGAGCUCAAUAACCCUCGGUCUGUUAUAGUUCUAACUCGUUCCGGUUACCUAUACCUGGUAACCGCGGAUCCUUCACAUCAUAAACAAAAAAAAUAUUUUCCUAGAGAAAAGCACGAAAAUUUGUGUUGCGCUACGUAAUACUUUAUAAAGUUUUCCGACAUCGUCCGCUGCUUUUACUGUUUCGUGCUGUAAAUCAUAAAACUAUAGAAAAAAUUUCAAAAGCUGAAUCUGGAAGACACUAGUAAACUCCCGAAGCUCGAAAAAUUUUCUAAGGAUUAACUUAAUAAUGAACUGCAGAACACCGUUAUAAUGAUCAUAGACAUGAAGUCCAGCACAAAUAUAAACAGCGCCUAAGAACUAUCGAAAAUGAUUUACUGAGUGUACAAGUGUGAACAUAACCCCAACCCUACGAGAUAAAUUCACCAUAACCUACAAUGUGGAAAUUUUAAUAAAUAACAUGUCUUAAUGAAUAUCAACUAUAUCACAUACAUCUACAAAUAAAAUCAACAAGUAUAAGGUAACGAUAGAUAUAAGUAUUUAGAAAGCGACGGAAGAAAACAAAAUUAAAAAAUAUUACUUAAAAUUAAAAAAAAAAAUUAGAAAAUGUUUUGAUGACAAAUUAAGUAAAAAAAAUAAUAAUUAAAUACAUAAACUGAGGCUAGACUUUUGUAAAACGUUAAGUACAUAUACAUACAUAUAACGUUAAAAAGAAAUAUUUCUUAAGUAUAUUUUUAAAAUCUUUCGAAACUAAUAGAAUAACUUAGUGAAUCCGCACUUUAAAAAACUUUUAUUGAAUGAGCUAAAUUCUUACAAGUACAUAAAUAUAUAUACAAUAAGUAUCAGCUUAUAUGAAAAAUUAUGUGUAGAUAUCGAUAAAAUUGUAAUAUAAAAAAUGUCAAAAAAGAAUGGUUUUCAAACCAUAAGUUGUGAAGAGUCAAUUCGAAAACUAAUCUGAAGAAUACUCACGUUUCUAGUCACUGAGUUUCAGUGAGAAUAAUAUUUUCUAAACUUAUUCCGUUAUACCACUAAUUUUUAUAUAUCUAAUUUAAUAUUUAUAUGAAAUUUACUACCUGCAUUAUUUUCCAACUGAAAUUUGCAACAAUGAACUAAAUAAUAAGUAAGUUGCCAUAAUGUCACUUGAAGAGACAGUGCAACAUGCCGAUUACGGCUUCAAAUUUGAUUUAUUUAUAUACUUAAUUUAUUUGUUUGUUUUAUUAUUAACAUUUUUCACGUCAUUGAAGAAGUUUACGAUAAUUAUUCACUCUUCACCUUUUCCGAUUGCGCCAUUAAUGAGUGGUUUUGAUCUUACACGGUGCUGCCAGGCGUAUGUGUUUUAAUUAAUAUAUUCAAUAAUAACAGUUAAAAAACAUUAUUUCUAAUUGGCUCUGAGUCAUGUUAUUGUCAUACUUUGUGUUGAAGUUUUAUAUCGCUCGCGGUAGAUGUUUAAUAUGGCAACAGCAAUCUUAAGUGGAUGUUGCACUUUUAUACUAUCCGAAUGUUCCAUCCAAGAUUAACCAAUCAAGACUGUACAUUACAACCCAAUUAAAGAAGAAGGUGUUGUUUUUUACGUUGGAAAAAUAGUAGAAAACCCCAACGACAUUUAUUCGUUCAUUCUCAUAUUAAUACUAAAAUACAUUUAAUACAUUUAUAAUGCCCAUACCUCGGACAUUGUCAUUACGAUGAUGCCAUAUCACAUCAAUUUAGCAAAUUCGUAACACCGAAUAUAAUGAUUCAUCGUUUAUUAAAUGGUCUAUCGUGCCCGAA